UUCAGAGUUAUGAAAUUUGGCUGAACGAUCACAACCCCAUGAAACAACAUGAUCAUUUGACAGCGCACAGGCAGUUAAAAAAGUACACCCGGAUUGUCACACCUGAAUAAUGAAGACUAAAUGUCAAUGAAAAACGUACAGUUACGAGAACUCAAGACCUUCAGGGAGCUACCCGUCUGCUUAUGAGUAUAAUUGAUAUAUAAAUAGAUAUAAUACUAUAAUUGCUGUAUAAAUAUAACACCAUCUUGAAAAUGUAAACAAAACUAUAUUUACGUGUAUGUAACACCUUAAUCUCGUCACAGUACUUUGGAGGAACUGCAUGUUUUGUUCAAUACGAAUAUUUCAGAACAACUUAAAAUAAAUACAUAAAUAUAAAAUA